rnacentral:rRNA from 1 species
CACGUAGGGGGCGAGCGUUGUCCGGAUUUAUUGGGCGUAAAGAGCUCGUAGGCGGCUCGGUAAGUCGGGUGUGAAAACUCUAGGCUCAACCUAGAGACGCCACCUGAUACUGCUGUGGCUAGAGUCCGGUAGGGGAGCAUGGAAUUCCUGGUGUAGCGGUGAAAUGCGCAGAUAUCAGGAAGAACACCCGUGGCUAAGGCGGCUCUCUAGCACGGUACUGACGCUGAGACGCGAAAGCGUGGGGAGCGAACAGG